CCUACGGGAGGCAGCAGUGAGGAAUAUUGGUCAAUGGACGAGAGUCUGAACCAGCCAAGUAGCGUGAAGGAUGACUGCCCUAUGGGUUGUAAACUUCUUUCAUAUGGGAAUAAAACGUUCCACGUGUGGGAUUUUGUAUGUACCAUAUGAAUAAGGAUCGGCUAACUCCGUGCCAGCAGCCGCGGUAAUACGGAGGAUCCGAGCGUUAUCCGGAUUUAUUGGGUUUAAAGGGAGCGUAGGUGGAUUGUUAAGUCAGUUGUGAAAGUUUGCGGCUCAACCGUAAAAUUGCAGUUGAAACUGGCAGUCUUGAGUACAGUAGAGGUGGGCGGAAUUCGUGGUGUAGCGGUGAAAUGCUUAGAUAUCACGAAGAACUCCGAUUGCGAAGGCAGUUCACUGGACUGCAACUGACACUGAGGCUCGAAAGUGUGGGUAUCAAACAGGAUUAGAUACCCUUGUAGUC
rnacentral:rRNA from 1 species